AUUGAACGCUGGCGGCAGGCUUAACACAUGCAAGUCGAGCGGUAACAGAGAUAGCUUGCUAUCUGCUGACGAGCGGCGGACGGGUGAGUAACGCGUAGGAAACUACCCGGUAGUGGGGGACAACAGUUGGAAACGACUGCUAAUACCGCAUACGCUCUACGGAGGAAAGGGGGCUUCGGCUCUCGCUAUCGGAUGUGCCUGCGUUGGAUUAGCUAGUUGGUGGGGUAAAGGCCUACCAAGGCGACGAUCCAUAGCUGGUCUGAGAGGAUGAUCAGCCACACUGGGACUGAGACACGGCCCAGACUCCUACGGGAGGCAGCAGUGGGGAAUAUUGGACAAUGGGCGCAAGCCUGAUCCAGCCAUGCCGCGUGUGUGAAGAAGGCUUUCGGGUUGUAAAGCACUUUCAUCAGUGAGGAAAGCUUGUUGGUUAAUACCCAUCAAGUGUGACGUUAACUGAAGAAGAAGCACCGGCUAACUCC
rnacentral:rRNA from 1 species